UGGUGGUUGUCCCAGGUCAGUGUGAUCGAUAAACGGAAAAAGGAAAGAAAAAGGAAAAAAAAAAAAAAAUAUAUAAUACAGAAAGAACGCAACAAAAAAAUUUCUUCUUCCUGCGCAAUAUUGUUGUAUGCACGUAUGGUGCAACGAAGUACGUACACCGAUAACGCGUACGCAUGUACGUAGAAUACACACCGAAGCCAGGGGGAUAAUUUCUGUUGUUGUUGUUGUUUUAGUUUUUGCUUUUAUUAAUAUGGGGUCUGCUACGUCGGUGAUGUUAUGGUGGUGCAGCUGUGCAUUUCAUGGCUGCCAUGCUGUCGCUUGCAUCGAUUCAAACCUGGGCUUAUAAGAGGCUUAUAUUACCUACGUGAGCGUACAUAUACGCAUGUAUGUCCCCCCCCGUGCAUGCACCUAUAUGUACAUGCACACCAAUGUACACACGUGUUGUAUCCUGCCGGACAACGUAAAGGAAAUUUCUGGGGGAGAGAACGAAAUUUGGAUGUGGGAAAAUCACAACGCCACAGUUUCCGUAGGAUGGGAGGAGCGUUAAAAUCAUCUCGUUGCAGUAUAUUUGAGAGGAGAUACGAUCGGUGGUAUAUACGGCGGGAUUUCAAGGUCGCAGACUGCUGCACCAAGAAAAGAGAAACGCGUAUCUGACGAAUGCAGAAACUAUAGGAAAGAUGGAGACGGAAGAAUAGAAAAAAGACCAAAAAAACGAUAUGGCGGACGAAAAGGUGACCCAUACUUUUGCCCGAACUCGUAGCUACGGAUAUUCGGCACCCUCGUCGAGGAGAGAUUCGUCCCAACGCUAGCAUCGGUCUACGUGUAAGAGGCAUCAGGAGUUAGCAUUGCAGUAAUAUACAUAGUAUAGAGUAAAGAGGAGAGAAGCAGAAGCGUAUAUACGCGACUUGCCGCCGCCGGCAACGAUCCUGACCAAAAAGUCGGGGAGUCACCCUCGCCUCCUUGUCUGGAACUCCGUCUGGCUACGUCUGGCUCUGUUCGGCCAGGGCGACAUCGUCAGGGUGGCAUGAUGCGGCUUGGGGGCUGGCGGGAGGGACAGAGGGGACAUGGAGGGACGGGGGAGGGGGGAGGGGGGGGGGAGGGAGAUUUCAAGGGGGAGACACGAGACUACCGCGACUCCGUCCGUACUCGUGACGUUACGUCUAGACGCC